rnacentral:rRNA from 1 species
CGUCACAUCCUGGGGCUGGAGAAGGUCCCAAGGGUUGGGCUGUUCGCCCAUUAAAGUGGCACGCGAGCUGGGUUCAGAACGUCGCGAGACAGUUCGGUCUCUAUCUACUAUGGGCGUUAGAAAUUUGAGGAGAGCUGACAUUAGUACGAGAGGACCAUGUCGGACGCACCUCUAGUGUACCUGUUAUGGCGCCAGCUGUAUCGCAGGGUAGCUACGUGCGGUUGGGAUAAGUACUGAAAGCAUAUAAGUACGAAGCCCACUUCAAGAUGAGAUUUCUCUUAAGGGUCGUUCAAGAUGAGGACGUUGAUAGGCUACAGGUGUAAAGGCAGUAAUGUCAUAGCUGAGUAGUACUAAUUACCCGUGGAUUUUUUAUC